GUGCUCUCUCCAGCAGCAUUUAGACGAAAAUUAGAAUGAUACACUGAAGAUUAGCAUGGCCCCUGCAUGAAGAUAACACAUAUAUCCCCCGAAAAGAACUCAUUGUGU